GCCCAUAGGUCUGCCACAAGUUCUUGACUCGGAAGAAUGGUGGAGGCAUCUGGCAUCCAUACACACUCCCAUUCGUCUCAGCGCGGGGCCUACCGAAGGCCACAGAUCAUUUUCCACUCUUGUUCGGAACACAUCUGGCAUGGCUCGUGAUGCGUCAAGCAGUUCCUCUGCUCCGGGCGGAAGUAGAGCGUGGGCGAAUCAAGCGCUGCCCGGCCAUGGGCAAAUGGCUCCAGGGAUUGCCGGUCCACCAAUGAUGGGCGCCCCUAUGAUGGGUGGACACAUGAUCCCUCGCUUCAGGUGACCACCUGGUCCUGGUAUGUAACCAGCAGGUAGGAGCUACAGGAUGGGCAGCAGCAGCAGUGGCAGAAGCAGCAGCAGCAGUAGUAGCAGCAGCAGCAGAAGCAGCAGCAGCAGCAGCAGGCCGAUGCUGGUGAGGCAACACACGCAUGCCCUCGUCAUGACUGAUAGCCUCCUCACCGACCCUCCCUCGCUCGCUCGCUAAGCACACUAGCGCAGUCAGUCACUAAGUUGGCCUGUGUGGCAAACCAACACACAUCUGGGACAACCCAAGAUAAGUCUGCUGUCCUCAUGCAUUGCAAUAGGCAAGAACCUUCAAACACCACUCAGGCUAAGCAAUGUCCACAUUUAGGAAAAAAGAUGAUGUAGGAAAUAGUCGCAUCCACCUAAUAGGUCUAUAUAUGCUUUGAGUGAUCGUCUUUGUGUGGAUUUAAUUUUGAUUUGCAGUAAUGAUAUGAAGUUAUCAUUGGUCCCUAACACUGUUGGUUUUCCAUCACAGUUGGGUUAGUCCUGUGUGGACAAGCUAACACUGCAUCAUUCUGCAGCAAGCAUCUUUUAUCAUCUGUUAUUGACUUCUUUGUCUCCCAUCAUUGCUCUUUUAUCAGUGUUAAAAUGUUUACCCACAAGACUGUCGUUUGUGUGCAUACGUGGAACUUGUGUUUGAGCAAGUGGUGCCUGUAUAGUUGCUCCUGUAUACGUGCUUUUUGGGACCCACACUUGACUGUAUGUAUCUUUGCCCUGAUCCAGCUCAAGUGUGCAGGAACAGUCUCCCAGGUGCCACAUCUGUGCCUCCUAAUUUCCUUCAUCUGCUUCAAAUAAAUCACAGUUAUCAAAAUUGUUGGGAACUUAACAUGGGGAUUGAUUCCUGUGUGGAUGUGGCUUGUGGAGUGAAAUUCUGGUGCUUACUUGGGCCCGGAUGGAGGUGUGAACUCAACUUUCCUCUUGAGCGUGGGAGCACUUGUAUCAUAGUGUUUUAGGUUCCAUCAUUCUUUUCAGUGACAAAUGUGUAUUGUGAAAUUUCUCUUAAGGUAAGAAACUGUUUAGUUGAUAAGGUAAGAAAGUGUUUAGUAUAGAGAUGAAGUAGUUCUUGACUGAAGCACUGUUGGAAA